UUGAAAUUGAAAUCAAGCAUCUAAAAGGGAAAUUUAAGACAAAAUUUUGUUUAAAGGAAAAAAGAGACGACUUCUUAGGUUUGUUUUGUAUGUUCUUAUGUACGACACAACAGAUAUGGAACACAUAUAAUUUCAAAGUAUUUGACUGCUUUGUAGUUGAUCUACCAAUCGUCUUUUAGAGUAUAUAUAAGUUGUUCCCAAACUGUAAUAGUUUGUGUGUUCAUUAGAUGCAAAUCAAAAUUGCAUAUUAUACAU
rnacentral:lncRNA from 1 species